UACGUAGGGUGCGAGCGUUGUCCGGAAUUAUUGGGCGUAAAGGGCUCGUAGGCGGUUUGUCGCGUCGGGAGUGAAAACCAGGUGCUUAACACCUGGCUUGCUUUCGAUACGGGCAGACUAGAGGUAUGCAGGGGAGAACGGAAUUCCUGGUGUAGCGGUGAAAUGCGCAGAUAUCAGGAGGAACACCGGUGGCGAAGGCGGUUCUCUGGGCAUGACCUGACGCUGAGGAG
rnacentral:rRNA from 1 species